rnacentral:rRNA from 1 species
AUUGAACGCUGGCGGCAGGCUUAACACAUGCAAGUCGAGCGGAGCUGAGGUGCUUGCACCUUAUCUUAGCGGCGGACGGGUGAGUAAUGCUUAGGAAUCUGCCUAUUAGUGGGGGACAACAUUCCGAAAGGAAUGCUAAUACCGCAUACGCCCUACGGGGGAAAGCAGGGGAUCUUCGGACCUUGCGCUAAUAGAUGAGCCUAAGUCGGAUUAGCUAGUUGGGAGGGUAAAGGCCUACCAAGGCGACGAUCUGUAGCGGGUCUGAGAGGAUGGACCGCCACACUGGGUCUGGGACACGGCCCAGACUCCCACGGGAGGCAGCAGUGGGGAAUAUUGGACAAUGGGCGGAGGCCUGAUCUAGCCAUGCCGCGUGUGUGAAGAAGGCCUUUUGGUUGUAAAGCACUUUAAGCGAGGAGGAGGCUACCUGGAUUAAUACUCUAGGAUAGUGGACGUUACUCGCAGAAUAAGCACCGGCUAACUCUGUGCCAGCCGCCGCGGUAAGAC